UUACCUGCCUGGCAGAGAAGUUAAAGAUUGAGGAUCAGUAGGAUGCCUUUUCUUAGGCUGAGCUUAGCCAUUGUACUCAAGAUGUGCUGUCAUAUGUGGUUUCUCCAAAUGUGGGAAAGCUACUGCAUAAUUUGUGGUAGUAAGGGCGUGUGUUCCCACUUUUCCCUG